GGAGUAGAAAAUAUAUAAAUUAUAAAACAAACAUUAUUCCUUUUUUAAAUUUUACGAGAGGUGGAAUCCUCGUCCUCACGGAAAGCACGAUAUAGGAUUCUAUUCCAUUCAAUCCAAGCAUCCAUCCGUUAACGAACCCUCAAUUUCCCAGAUUUUCUGAAUCCUUCUCACCCCACCAAUUUCUCUCACAAUAAACCAACAACAACAAAAAAAAGUUCCAAUUUUUUAUACCAGUGGUGUGUUGUGUUGUGCAGCAUCACCCAUCAUCCCUUAUUCUCUCGACAUGGGUUGUGGCUCCUCUUUUCCAGAUAGGGAAUCAGGGCAGCUAGGUCGACCUAAUUCAGAGAAUGGUGGAGGACAAGACGCUAAGAAUCUUCGUGUUAAGCUCGUUCUCUUAGGUGAUUCUGGUGUUGGUAAGAGUUGUAUUGUUCUGCGAUUUGUCCGUGGUCAGUUUGAUCCAACAUCCAAGGUAACUGUUGGAGCAUCUUUCUUGUCACAAACAAUCGCUCUUCAAGACUCUACAACAGUCAAGUUUGAAAUAUGGGAUACCGCUGGUCAAGAGAGGUAUGCUGCACUUGCACCGCUGUAUUAUCGUGGUGCAUCGGUUGCAGUUAUUGUCUAUGAUAUAACAAGCCCGGAAUCUUUCAGCAAAGCACAGUACUGGGUUAAGGAGCUACAAAAACAUGGAAGCCCUGAUAUAGUGAUGGCAUUGGUUGGUAAUAAAGCUGAUCUUCACGAGAAGCGGGAAGUGGCUGUUCAGGAUGGCAUGGACUAUUCAGAAAAGAACGGAAUGUUUUUUAUAGAGACCUCGGCAAAGACAGCGGAUAAUAUCAAUGAACUGUUUGAGGACAUUGUUGACUAUGCUACUAGCAGGCUUCCCUAUGAUGUUCUUGCUGCUUGAAGAUAGUUGUAACAAACUCAUUACCUAUUGGAGGAGCUAAACAUGAUCUUGUAUAGGAAAUUGCCAAAAGACUGCCUCGCCCACCAGUUACUUGAUGUGCACAUAUUGCAGCUCUCUAUAGAAUUUGCAGCUGCUUUUGAUCCUUUAAAAUUGUACUGUAUGCAGUUAUGUUUAUGAAUGUGUUAAUUAGAUUGUAUCUUAUGAAUAUUCCUUAGGCUAUGCUUUUAGACACUCAAGUAUAUGAUUUCAUAUUCAAUUUGGGAUGCUUUGUGAGAAUUUAGUUGAAUUACUAAUGAGACAUAUUUUCAUAUA